GUGCUCACUUCAGCAGCACAUAUACUAAAAAUUUGAACAAUACAGUGUUUAGCAUGGCCCCUGAGUAAGGAUGACACACAAAUUUGUGAAGCAUUUCAUUAAAAA